rnacentral:rRNA from 1 species
CCUACGGGUGGCAGCAGUGAGGAAUAUUGGUCAAUGGGCGCGAGCCUGAACCAGCCAAGUAGCGUGAAGGAUGACUGCCCUACGGGCUGUAAACUUUUUUUAUAAAGGAAUAAAGUGAGGCACGUGUGCCUUCUCGUUUGUACUUUAUGAAUAGGAUCGGCUAACUCCGUGUCAGCAGCCGCGGUAAUACGGAGGAUCCGAGCGUUAUCCGGAUUUAUUGGGUUUAAAGGGAGCGUAGAUGGGUUGUUAAGUCAGUUGUGAAAGUUUGCGGCUCAACCGUAAAAUUGCAAUUGAUACUGGCAGUCUUGAGUACAGAUGAGGUGGGCGGAAUUCGUGGUGUAGCGGUGAAAUGCUUAGAUAUCACGAAGAACUCCGAUUGCGAAGGCAGCUUACUAAACUGCCACUGACAUUGAUGCUCGAAAGUGUGGGUAUCAAACAGGAUUAGAUACCCUUGUAGUC